rnacentral:rRNA from 1 species
GCCGGCGGUCUGUCGGUCAAGCAACUGCCUUAUCAGCUUGUCGUUAGGUUAUAUGCCUAACGAGGCGUCAACGGGUAACGAACGAUCGGGGUCGGACAUCGGAGAGGGAGCCUGAGAAACGGCUACCACUUCCAAGGAAGGCAGCAGGCGCGCAAAUUACCCACUCCCGGCACGGGGAGGUAGUGACGAGAUGUAUUGAUGCGGGGCUAUUAUGCCUCGUAAUCAAAAUGAGUACACUUUAAAAUCCUUUAACGAGGACCUAUUGGAGGGCAAGUCUGGUGCCAGCAGCCGCGGUAAUUCCAGCUCCAAUAGCGUAUAUUAAUGCUGCUGCGGUUAAAACAUUCGUAGCUGGAUCUGGGUUGUCGGCGGGCUCUUUGCACUGUUUUCUAGCAGUGUAUUUGUAGGUAAUACGGUAGCUUCGGCUACUAUGCCAUCAUUAUUAUCGUAUGAUAGUAGUGUUUGGUCGCCGACACCACCUGCCGAGCCGGGUCUCAUAUUCUUCACUGAGUGUGUGAUGCGUUCGGUGCUUUUACCUUGAAAAAAUUAGAGUGCUCAAAAGCAGGCGGUAUAGUCGCGUUUAGCGGCUUGAAUAUUGGUGCAUGGAAUAAUGGAAUAGGACCUCGGUUCUAUUUUGUUGGUUUUCAGGACUCGAGGUAAUGAUUAAGAGGGACAGACGGAGGCAUUGGUAUUGCAACGUU